UUCCUGAAAAAAAAAUUUUGAUUAAUGAUGAUUCGUUAGUUAGUAUAGUUGGGAGGUCGUUUAGGAUUGACGGGGAAUUUGCAAAAUGUGCGAAGAAGUAGAAAAAUACAAAAAAAUAAAAAUGGCCGAGACAAUGGUAUGCAAAAGCAACGAGUGAGAUCUUAGGACCCAGCAAAAUACGGUUUGACAUAUGUAACUAAACUAAACCAGUGCAGAGGCAAUACCAAGUGCUGGUGCAGUGCUUUUUUAGUGCGUGAUUGGUGUAUACAUAAAUUAAGAAAGAUAUCCAGCUUGUGAACGCAAAUUUGAUUCAUGUGCGAAAGUGUGAAUCACUACACCGACCAUUAAAGCGACAAAUCUACAGUAGUGCAUAAUGUGCAGGUGAGUGAUCUACUGAGCUGGAAAGGGAAAAAUUGGGUUUGAUUCUUUUGUCAUUGAAUAGCCCAAGGUUGUUCGUCUAUGAAAGGUCAUUGUACGAGAUUGGGUCAAAAGAACGGCCAUAUCUCUGAAAUCACGUGGAAAUCUUUCGACCUUCAAAAUUAUGUUCCUCUACCCUCAACUUUUAUUCCGGGAAACCAGAAUGCAGAACGUGUCAACGUGUAUAUAAGGCGGUAACCAACUUUUUAUUUCACAAUCGUGCAAGGGUCUUCCACUGCAUCUGUACUGUUGCUUCAACCCCAUCUCAGGACGCUUCGCUUGCUUGUUUUUUACAGGCCCCUUCAGUGCUGAAUUCCGACACUGAUCUUGUGGGACUUGCCAUUCGUCGUCAACUAUAAUUCAAUCAUCCUUUUGAAAAUUCCUUGUUGUUGGAUUGGAUCCAUCAAUUCUGGUUAAUUACCAACGUACCCGAGGAUAGAAAGUGUGGUGGAUUCUAAGGAGCGUCGAUCUACCGAUAUCAUGUCCCUGCCAAAUCAAAGACAAUCAGUUCCGCAAAAGCGUAUCUGAUCAAAAUGCGAGUUCGGUCGCCACGGUGAGCUUAGUGUUCAUUUACUAAAAGACGCCGUCGGAUGCAAAACGGCCCUCCACACUAGAGAAAAGUCGUACCAAGAGGGAGAGGAAUAUUUAUCACUGAAUGUGAGUCUUACUUUGGACACAAAAGCAGGAAAGGUACAUUCUACGACGAUUCACGUCUACGCUUGUUGCUUGGACGAAAAGAACAAAGGAUUUUUGAUUCUGCAUAAAAUAUACAACUUAAAACCGAAAGGAUACGCCUUAAUUUAGGGCUCGGCCCCACGAUGUUCGGGCACGAUCGUCGCGAUCAGAUUAAGCCUUAAUCUGAUGUCUUUGUACUAUUAUGAGAAUCGACAGAAACAAACAGCAGUUUUUUUUAUAAAUGCUAUUACAGGAGCAAAUUCCAAGAACUGCUAUUUGAAAAUCUCAAUGAAUUUUUUCUUGUCUACUUUCUUGAUUGACCGCCUGAAAUUCAUUUUCCAUGCUGAAUAACUGUUAGUUCUUAGGGCUUGUAUCCAAUCUUGCCUACCUGUUGAGUAUGUAACAAAGUUAUAUUAGUUUCUGGGUGUGCUUGUUGCCCCCUAUUUUAUUAGCCUCAAUUGUAGAAUGUUAGUGUACAAAACUGCCCAGCAUGUAAAUGUCACUGUAAAAUUUAUAAAAAUAAGAUUAUUAAGCAUUUAAGUAUUAGGAAAAGAACAAGCAUUGAGACCAGUGUAGGUUUACUUGCUUAUUUAAUUACUUUAUUAACUUUCUUGCUCUUAGAUUUGUGAUGAUUUCCCAGUACGUUUUUGGCUUUGUUGUUAUAGUAUGACCAUCAUAUUGUUACCAGAGUCACAAUACUAUUUCCUUAUACCUUGUUUUGAUCACAUAGACGCCAAAGUUAAGACGUUCAUGACCAAACAUAUUUCGUUUUAAAAAAUGGCAAUCUAAUUAUAAACCAAAAUGGUAAUUCA